UACGUAGGGUGCGAGCGUUAAUCGGAAUUACUGGGCGUAAAGCGUGCGCAGGCGGCUCCGCAAGUCAGACGCGAAAUCCCCGGGCUUAACCUGGGAAUGGCGUUUGAAACUACGGGGCUAGAGUGUGGCAGAGGGGGGUAGAAUUCCACGUGUAGCGGUGAAAUGCGUAGAUAUGUGGAGGAAUACCGAUGGCGAAGGCAGCCCCCUGGGCCAACACUGACGCUCAUGCACGAAAGCGUGGGGAGCAAACAGG
rnacentral:rRNA from 1 species